rnacentral:rRNA from 1 species
AUACUGAUACAGGGCUCUUUUGGGUCUUGUAAUUGGAAUGAGUACAAUUUAAAUCUCUUAACGAGGAACAAUUGGAGGGCAAGUCUGGUGAACGUUCCAGUUCCGAUGCUGGUGCCAGAGAUAGCGGUUAAAUAGCCCACGCUAGUCGAGCAUCCGCCAUCAGCGGGAGGAUGCCGGCGAGACAACCUGGAUCGGGGGACGCUAAGGUGCCGAAGGGCGCUAUGCCAAUCCCGAGCGGAGUCCACUGACGGACCCGUGUAGAGCGCGCAAAGGUGUCGGUCCGGCUCGGUCGAGCUGGGCUUAAGGUACGUGCCGAUCCCCCGCGAAAGCGGGGCCGCGUCCAAGAGUGCCCGCUGCACGAAUGGACGUGGUGUCGAGGCUAGGGGGCCCCCCCGCCCCCCUAACCUCGCAAGUAAUACAGCCUAAAAAUGGCCAGCAGCCGCGGUAAUUCCAGCUCCAA